CUACGGUCAAAUCACUCUGAAAACACCGGUUCUCGUUAGAUCACAGAUUAAGCAACGUUGAAUUCAGUUAGUAUUUAGAUGGGGGACCGCUUGGGAACAUC